UGGUACAUUUCGGUUAGCAUUGCGCAGGU
rnacentral:piRNA from 1 species